CAGGCGGGAGGCGUCGCGUUUCCCGCUCCUCUCCUGCCCCUCGUCACCUCGCGGCUAGGCCGGGCGGUUCUCAGGCAGAAAGCUAUGACAGAUCAGCAUCGUUCUCCCUAAGAGGAACAGUGGAGAUGAGAAGAGCACAAGGAAAAGAAAAAUAAGGAGAAAACAGUGCAGAUGCUAGGUUGCAUCAUUUUGCACAAGCAUUUGCUUUUCUGUAACUGCGUGCCAACAGGAGGCUCUGUGGUUUAUGCCCUCCGUGGCCUGUAGUUGGUGCUGGACUGCAACCAAAUGUCUGUGAGCCAUGCAAGAGCCAAGCUGAGACUUUCCUUCCACUGUUCAGAGGAAUGAUAUCACCCCACCUUUGGCUGCAUGCAUCACUUUUACUCAAGACUAGCAUCUCACAUGAUUCACAAGAGCAUAAGACAAGCUGGAGUCCAUACAUUGGGUGCUUGUACAUUGGAGCCCCUGGUGGACAAGGACCAGAAGCUUUCAACCUGCAAAUGAGCACCUGUUCUGCUUAAAGUUACUGACCAACGUGAAGAGACACUAGAAAGAUUGCAGAUGUAUUUCAUUCAGGUACGACAUAAAAGGGUGUCAAAACUACCAAAAGAGCAGUAAGAGACUAGUUGUGGGUAAAUUCAGUUUAUGUCAAUGCUAGGGACUAGCACAUGUGGCAAGGAGAGGAGGCCGCCUUUCAAUGCAUGGAGAUUCAUGACUGGUGACACAAAAUUGCAUGAUUUAUCAUUUUGCGUUGUAUUUCUGGGCUCUUUUGUGAGAUCCAGAGGGUAUCUUCUUACUCCAGUCCAUGUUUCAGUACCCUUGCUUGUUCUUCAUAGCACCUUGCUCUAUGUGUAGGCUGACCUUUCCCUGAACGAAAAACAAUUACAAAAUAAGGUACUUGUCAAUGUGAAUGUACCUGAAAGAAAUUUGGUGUUUAUACUCUAAGCUUUCUUGUUCAUGCUGAGGUUUCUGCUUCUGCUCCCUUUUUGCCUCUAAAAUUAUUCUUGUCUCUCAUGUUAUCUCUGAACACAGCUCAAUUUUUUUGUGUACAUUCUUCAGUAUUAUUUUUGCUCACUUUCAAAUGAAAUCUGUUUGCAGCGGCAUUUAGAUUAUCCCCAGCUGUCAGAGAUAGUACCUUUCUAAAUACUGGUAGCACUAGUAGAGUAGUAAGUACAUGUACUGCACUGUACUUGAUUAAAAAAAAAAAUCAAACAAAACAAACAAAAAAACAA